rnacentral:rRNA from 1 species
GAUGAACGCUGGCGGCGUGCCUAAUACAUGCAAGUCGAGCGAACAGACGAGGAGCUUGCUCCUCUGACGUUAGCGGCGGACGGGUGAGUAACACGUGGAUAACCUACCUAUAAGACUGGGAUAACUUCGGGAAACCGGAGCUAAUACCGGAUAAUAUAUUGAACCGCAUGGUUCAAUAGUGAAAGACGGUUUUGCUGUCACUUAUCGAUGGAUCCGCGCCGCAUUAGCUAGUUGGUAAGGUAACGGCUUACCAAGGCGACGAUGCGUAGCCGACCUGAGAGGGGGAUCGGCCACACUGGAACGGAGACACGGUCCAGACUCCUACGGGAGGCAGCAGUAGGGAAUCUUCCGCAAUGGGCGAAAGCCUGACGGAGCAGCGCCGCGUGAGUGAUGAAGGUCUUCGGAUCGUAAAACUCUGUUAUUAGGGAAGAACAAAUGUGUAAGUAACUAUGCACGUCUUGACGGUACCUAAUCAGAAAGCCACGGCUAACUACGUG